UACGUAGGGUGCGAGCGUUGUUCGGAAUUACUGGGCGUAAAGGGCUCGUAGGCGGCCAACUAAGUCAGACGUGAAAUCCCUCAGCUUAACUGGGGAACUGCGUCUGAUACUGGAUGGCUUGGAUUCGGGAGAGGAAUGCGGAAUUCCAGGUGUAGCGGUGAAAUGCGUAGAUAUCUGGAGGAACACCGGUGGCGAAGGCGGCAUUCUGGACAGUGACUGACGCUGAGACGCGAAAGCGUGGGGAGCAAACAGG
rnacentral:rRNA from 1 species